rnacentral:rRNA from 1 species
UACGUAGUGGGCAAGCGUUGUCCGGAAUCAUUGGGCGUAAAGAGCGUGUAGGCGGCCAGAAAAGUCCGCUGUGAAAACUCGAGGCUCAACUUCGAGCUGUCGGUGGAAACUUUCUGGCUAGAGUCCGGAAGAGGAGAAUGGAAUUCCUGGUGUAGCGGUGAAAUGCGCAGAUAUCAGGAAGAACACCCGUGGCGAAGGCGGUUCUCUGGGACGGUACUGACGCUGAGACGCGAAAGCGUGGGGAGCGAACAGG